rnacentral:lncRNA from 13 species
AUAAAGGCCGGUGCAGAGAGGAGAUCAGUGUGCGACUGAUUAUCGUAAUCACCUGUGUCUCCUUCCUAGAUUGUGACAGUGACUCUGCAGGUGGUGGCUGGAGAAUUGAUAAGGACUUGAUGCUCAUCCAGGACUGGAUGACUUCUUCAGCAGUACUCCACAAAGUGACAGGAGGGAAUGACAGGAGGAAACAAAGAGCUGUUUUCUGAUGUUCUUCUGAAUUUCUUCUACAACAGUGAAGCAAUGAGCUACCAAGUAUAGUUUAGCCUAAUCUGAAGGACAUGGAUCUUUAACAGAGCUUUCACUUUUCCAGGUAAUUGUGGAAGAAAAUUAACAACCCAACUCCUUGCAAACAUGCAGCUCUAGUUGAUUCUUAGUGAAGAAGAGACCUUUAUAGACAGGCUUAUAAUGACUAAGAAAGGAAAAAUAAAG